GGCUCUGUGCUCCUCCUGUGCUGACCCAGCCCCCAUCUGCUUCUGCCUCCCUGGGAGCCUCGGCCAAGCUCACCUGCACCCUGAGCAGUGAGCACAGCAACUACGCCAUUGCAUGGCAUCAGCAACAGCCAGGGAAGGCCCCUCGGUAUUUGAUGUAUCUUAACAGUGAUGGAAGCCAGAGCAAGGGAGACGGGAUCCCUGAUCGCUUCUCGGGCUCCAGCUCUGGGGCUGACCGCUACUUAACCAUCUCCAACCUCCAGCCUGAGGAUGAGGCUGACUAUUACUGUCAGACAUGGGUUCUGGUGGUUGGAGGCCACUUCCAGGGUGCCAUGGUCAUAGAGCUGAAAGGACAACUGAAAUUUAGCCUGUCUAUGGUCUGA